AUUGAACGCUGGCGGCAGGCUUAACACAUGCAAGUCGAGCGAGAGGCGGACGGGUGAGUAAUGUCUGGGAAAGUGCCUGAUGGAGGGGGAUAACUACUGGAAACGGUAGCUAACACCGCAUACCACCAGAUGUGCCCAUAUGGGAUUAGCUAGUAGGUGGGGUACUGGCUCACCUAGGCGACGAUCCCUAACUGGUAUUAGAGGAUGACCAGCGACACUGGAACUGAGACACGGUCCAUACUCCUACGCGAGGCAGUAGUGGGGAAUCGUGCACAAUGGGCGAAAGCCUGACCAAGCAACGCCGCGUGUGUGUAGAAGGCCUUCGGGUUGUAAAGCAAUUGCAGAGAGGAGGCGUUACCCGAAGAAGAAGCACCGGCUAACUCCGUGCCAGCCGCCGCGGUAAUUC
rnacentral:rRNA from 1 species